AAAAUCUCCUCUUUUACGUUUCGGGAGAGAAAACAAGUAACUCACCGCUCGCAACACAUCCCAACGCUCCUCAUUCAUUGAUCAAAGAUGCAGAAGAAAGUUGCACCAUAUCCAGGGAAAAUCUCUGUGGUGUUCCGCAAGGGGCCACUUGGAUACCUUCUCCAGGACCCGUCAAAAGAAGCUCGACGGAUUAAAAAUGACCCCAAACUGCAGGACAAGUCUGCACCUGUGAGGGAGGAUGUUUACAUCGGAAUGCUCUGACUGUCAUCUAUCAGAGAGGAGGGGAUGAGUCUGACAUGAAGGAAGUGCAGGGAGAGUACAUUCUGCAGUUUGGAAAGCAUAAAGGGAAAUCUUUCCGGUGGCUUCUGGGGAAUGAUGUCGGGUACACCAUGUACCUGAUCAAAGAUCUCCAGAAGGAAGAGGCUGCAGGGACCUCUGUGGAAGAAGGGCAUGGCAAGGAGAGCUUGCAUUCAUUUGUACAGUAUGCCCUCAGCUUUACAGAGAUAAAGACUCUUCUGAACUACAAGACCAGCAGAGUGAGUGUUGCUGCAGAAGCCUCUGAGAAUGAUCAGCUGGUUGGCUUUGGCUCACGAGCCAAGAGCACCUGGAAGGAGAUUCAGGAGUCUCCUUUCUACGAGGCAGAGAGACAAAGAUGGGUGGAAGAAAAGAGGAAAUAGGGGAGAAACUGUUGAUAUUGUACAUAAGAUAGUUUUGUUCUAGUUUUGUAAUGUUUAUUUUGUUUAUAUAAAUAAAAACUGAUUGUAAAUAUAAAAAUGUGAAUAAAUUGUGUUCU